rnacentral:tRNA from 1 species
GCUGCGAUGGCUGAGUGGUUAAGGUGUUGGAUUAGAAAUCCAACAAGGUUUCCCAGUGCAGAUUCAAAUCCUGAUCACAGUG